rnacentral:tRNA from 1 species
UGUCCAAUGUGGGAAUCGAACCCGGAUCAUACUGGUCGAAAACCAAACGGUUUAACCAGUCUUCCACCGACCCCCCUGAGCUAAUAAAAC